rnacentral:rRNA from 1 species
GCAAGUCGAGCGGACAGAAGGGAGCUUGCUCCCGGAUGUUAGCGGCGGACGGGUGAGUAACACGUGGGUAACCUGCCUGUAAGACUGGGAUAACUCCGGGAAACCGGAGCUAAUACCGGAUAGUUCCUUGAACCGCAUGGUUCAAGGAUGAAAGACGGUUUCGGCUGUCACUUACAGAUGGACCCGCGGCGCAUUAGCUAGUUGGUGAGGUAACGGCUCACCAAGGCGACGAUGCGUAGCCGACCUGAGAGGGUGAUCGGCCACACUGGGACUGAGACACGGCCCAGACUCCUACGGGAGGCAGCAGUAGGGAAUCUUCCGCAAUGGACGAAAGUCUGACGGAGCAACGCCGCGUGAGUGAUGAAGGUUUUCGGAUCGUAAAGCUCUGUUGUUAGGGAAGAACAAGUGCAAGAGUAACUGCUUGCACCUUGACGGUACCUAACCAGAAAGCCACGGCUAACUACGUGCCAGCAGCCGCGGUAAUACGUAGGUGGCAAGCGUUGUCCGGAAUUAUUGGGCGUAAAGGGCUCGCAGGCGGUUUCUUAAGUCUGAUGUGAAAGCCCCCGGCUCAACCGGGGAGGGUCAUUGGAAACUGGGAAACUUGAGUGCAGAAGAGGAGAGUGGAAUUCCACGUGUAGCGGUGAAAUGCGUAGAGAUGUGGAGGAACACCAGUGGCGAAGGCGACUCUCUGGUCUGUAACUGACGCUGAGGAGCGAAAGCGUGGGGGAGCGAACAGGAUUAGAUACCCUGGUAGUCCACGCCGUAAACGAUGAGUGCUAAGUGUUUAGGGGGUUUCCGCCCCUUAGUGCUGCAGCUAACGCAUUAAGCACUCCGCCUGGGGAGUACGGUC